ACCCUCUCAGCGUCGCAUCUGGAGAGUUUCUAGUACUUUACCAGUCUCGACUACGGGAGGGAAUCAAGCAGAGACAUAACCAUUCCAUUCCUAGCUUAGGAAGUGGCUAGCGAGUGGAAGACAAUUUGUUACAUGU